UCCCUAACAACAGUCCAAAAAAUUUGAAUUAAUUCACUACACAUAGAAAAGUAAACACAUAAAUAUAUGACAACAGUAAGAAAAAAACACUGAUUAGAAUACUAAAAGUGGUGAAGCCAUAAUUUAUAGUAUUUAAAAUGUGUAUUGGCUAUGUAUAAAAUAUGCAUUGGUGUGAUGCUGUUAACAGUAACAGAGUCCGAGCAUUAAACAGAAGUCAUGUAGCAGCAGUUAUGAAGUGGGCGUGUAGCAGGAACUAAUGUAUGUCUGGGUGGGUGUGCUCAGUCAGUUCAGUGUUGAGCAGUCAGCUUGCAAACAGAAACUGUCUGGGCCUGUUGGAACUGGAUCCCAGGCCCCUUCUGUUCAGCGGUAAGCGGUCGAUCAACAUGCUCCCGGGAUGUUGUGUGGUCCUUGAUGAAGCUGCAGGCCUUCGUCAGACAGAGAUUCACUCAGCUUGCUUCACAUGCGCAGACCAUUGGGCCCCCUAGAACAGUGGACAGGACCAGGCAGUAAAUCAGAUGAGGGGAGAAACAACAUCAUCAAUGAUAAUGUUAUUUUCUACACUGAACAUCAUGUACAAUUAUUGCCUGACCUUGAUCAAUUUCAAAACGUACUUG